UCUACGGGUGGCUGCAGUGAGGAAUAUUGGUCAAUGGGCGCGAGCCUGAACCAGCCAAGUCGCGUGAGGGAAGACGGUCCUAUGGAUUUUAAACCUCUUUUGUCGGGGAGCAAAAGACGCCACGCGUUGCGUUCCGAGAGUACCCGAAGAAAAAGCAUCGGCUAACUCCGUGCCAGCAGCCGCGGUAAUACGGAGGAUGCGAGCGGUAUCCGGUGUUAGUGGGUUUAAAGGGUGCGCAGGCGGAAUAUCAAGUCAGUGGGAAAAUUGAGAGGCUCAACCUCUUCGAGCCGUUGAACCUGGUGUUCUUGAGUGAGUGAGAAGUAUGCGGAAUGCGUGGUGUAGCGGUGAAAUGCAUAGAUAUCACGCAGAACUCCGAUUGCGAAGGCAGCAUACCGGCGCUCAACUGACGCUCAUGCACGAAAGUGUGGGUAUCGAACAGGAUUAGAUACCCCGGUAGUC
rnacentral:rRNA from 1 species